rnacentral:rRNA from 1 species
UAAGGAAUAUUGGUCAAUGGGCGGAAGCCUGAACCAGCCAUGCCGCGUGCAGGAAGACGGCCCUACGGGUUGUAAACUGCUUUUGCAGGGGAAUAAACCCUCGUUCGUGAACGAGGCUGAAUGUACUCUGAGAAUAAGGAUCGGCUAACUCCGUGCCAGCAGCCGCGGUAAUACGGAGGAUCCGAGCGUUAUCCGGAUUUAUUGGGUUUAAAGGGUGCGUAGGCGGCCUGUUAAGUCAGGGGUGAAAGACGGUAGCUCAACUAUCGCAGUGCCUUUGAUACUGAUGGGCUUGAAUAUACUAGAGGUAGGCGGAAUGUGACAAGUAGCGGUGAAAUGCAUAGAUAUGUCACAGAACACCAAUUGCGAAGGCAGCUUACUAUGGUAUGAUUGACGCUGAGGCACGAAAGCGUGGGGAUCAAACAGGAUUAGAUACCCGCGUAGUCC